GAAUACGAAGUUAAGCAUCAUUGGGCGCGGUCAGUACUUGGGUGGGUGACCACCUGGGAACACUGCGUGCCGUU
rnacentral:rRNA from 1 species